GGGCUACUCUCUAUUGGCAUA
rnacentral:miRNA from 1 species